UAGUAUAGUAAACAUAGACAUCUUUAGCCAGAUUUACAGUUAAUCAGUUUAAGUGUUGACUUAGUCUCAUUAAUUUCAUGAGUAAGGAACUAAAGUCCCCUAUACAUCAGAGUGUACACAUGAACAAUUCCUGUCUGUUUACUUGGACAAUUUUUACUGUUUAAACUGUUUGGAAUCUAGUGGAUCAAGAACUUGCCUUGUUGAUUUCAGUUAAAAUAGAUUUCAUUACACCAGAAAUUUACUUUUUAAACAAUUCAGACCUAGGAAAAUUUCCAAAAACCUUCAAGAAGGCAGGUAGAUGUUGGAGGUGUGAUUUGUAGAUUAUGCAACCUCUCAGUUCCCUUCCAUGGAUGUCUUUUGGAUUUUGGAACUUGCAUAACAAAACCUGGUCAAUUUUGUAAGAAAGAGAUUCACCUAAGAGAGAGAAAGAGAGAGCAUGAGCAAGAGGAGCAGAAAGAGAGAGACAAGCAGACUCUGGGCU